UGGGCUCCCCGGUGUUCCACGGAUUGGGUUGCAGUGUGUGGCUCUGUGCUCUCCGACUUCCUCCUCUGAGGAACAAGGUAUGAAGUGCCCAGGACGAUUUUAUUUGGAAUUUAUUUUACAGGAACCUAAUCAUCACGGGCCAACCAAGACAUCUUAACUACCACAAUUUCUGAAGACAUUAAACUGCAUAUGCACAUGUACCAAAGCAGCGAGAGCUCCAAAUUCAGGGUCAUGAUCUACAGUGACUCUACUGAUGGUGUACGCCAUGCUGCUUUCAUUGUGCAGAAUUCAUUUCCUGCCAUAUCUGUUGUUUGGGUGUGGAGGUUCUGACCUGUAGAGUCGGAUCUUGGGGGUUGGGGAUUUGCUUACAGACUUGUCUGUUAUGCUAAUGAUCUGAUUCAGAAGCUCACCACUGCAGAAACAGUAUAUAUACUUACCAAUUCUUAGAAAUGAACAUUAGUGUGUUACAAGUUUUCCACAAAGUUGGUUGCCUCAUGAAGUACAAGAAAUUCUGCAAUUUCAUAUUUUUCAUUAUGCUGGAGAUUUCUGUUAACUCUGAUCGCUCUAAAUUUUUGUCUUUUAUUAAGAAACAAUCAAUGCCUGGAAAUGUGUCAUUUGUUUGCUCUCUUAUAUUGUUUCUUAGUACUGCUGCUGUCUGUUUAAUGACACCAGUGUCAUUGUGCAGGCAAAUUUCUCUGAGAGUGUUCCAUUUCUGCUUGAAUGUGGACCUCAGCCCAGGGAAUCUGUCUCAACAACAGUGCUGAAAUGGGCUGAAUGCAGUCCAGUGUAUGGAUUGACUCCAAAGAUGCUGGUGCUUUGAAUCAGCAGACUUUACAAGUUACAAAUGUUUUCUGACCUCUUCUGACUCAUUAAGAUUUUUAAGAACUCAAUCAAAUGUUUCUUACCCAAAGAGACAUAAAAAGACAAAACUAUCAGAGAGCUGCGGCUGCUUGGAGAACUUGGAAACGAUCAGCCAACCCUCAGCCUUUCACAAACACUGUUGCCUGCUAUGUGAUUAUGGGUCGUUCAUUGUUAAAUCAAAUAAAUUGUUAGAUUAUAGCUUUUAAUAGAUAAAAAUUAAUAAAACUCUAUCCAUGUUCAUUAAUUUA